GACGAACGCUGGCGGCGUGCUUAACACAUGCAAGUCGAACGGAAAGGCCCUGCUUUUGUGGGGUGCUCGAGUGGCGAACGGGUGAGUAACACGUGAGUAACCUGCCCUUGACUUUGGGAUAACUUCAGGAAACUGGGGCUAAUACCGGAUAGGAGCUCCUGCUGCAUGGUGGGGGUUGGAAAGUUUCGGCGGUUGGGGAUGGACUCGCGGCUUAUCAGCUUGUUGGUGGGGUGGUGGCUUACCAAGGCUUUGACGGGUAGCCGGCCUGAGAGGGUGACCGGUCACAUUGGGACUGAGAGACGGCCCAGACUCCUACGGGAGGCAGCAGUGGGGAAUAUUGCACAAUGGGCGGAAGCCUGAUGCAGCAACGCCGCGUGCGGGAUGACGGCCUUCGGGUUGUAAACCGCUUUCGCCUGUGACGAAGCGUGAGUGACGGUAAUGGGUAAAGAAGCACCGGCUAACUACGUG
rnacentral:rRNA from 1 species